rnacentral:rRNA from 1 species
GACGAACGCUGGCGGCGUGCUUAACACAUGCAAGUCGAACGGGAAGGCCCUGCUUUUGUGGGGUGCUCGAGUGGCGAACGGGAGAGUAAUACGUGAGUAACCUGCCAUUGACUUUGGGAUAACUUCAGGAAACUGGUGCUACUACCGGAUAGGAGCUCCCGCUGCAUGGUGGGGGUUGCAACGUUUCGGCGGUUGGGGAUGGACUCGUGGCAUCUCAGCUGGUUGGUGGAGUAGUGGCUUACCAAGGCUUUGACGGGUAGCCGGCCUGACAGGGUGACCGGCCAAGUGGGGACUGAGAUACGGCCCGGACUAGUGCGGGAGGCAGCAGUAGGGUAUAUUGCAUGAUGGGCGGAAGCCUGAUGCAGCAAGGCCGCGUGCGGGAUUGCGGCCUUCGGGUUGAAGGCCGCUUUCGCGUGUGACGAAGCGUGAGUGACGGUAAUGGGUAAAGAAGCACCGGCUAACUACGUG